GUUUUGUGUUUCUGUUUUCC
rnacentral:miRNA from 1 species